rnacentral:rRNA from 1 species
UACGUAGGGUGCGAGCGUUAAUCGGAAUUACUGGGCGUAAAGCGCGGGCAGGUGGCCUUUUAAGUCCUUUGUGAAAUUCCGGAGCUCAACUCCGGAUGUGCAUAGGAUACUGGAAGGCUAGAGACUGGUAGAGGCGAGCGGAAUUCCUGGUGUAGCGGUGGAAUGCGCAGAUAUCAGGAGGAACACCGGUGGCGAAGGCGGGUCUCUGGGCAGUGAACUGACGCUGAGGAGCGAAAGCGUGGGGAGCGAACAG